rnacentral:rRNA from 1 species
AGCCCAGAGCCUGAAUCAGUGUGUGUGUUAGUGGAAGCGUCUGGAAAGGCGCGCGAUACAGGGUGACAGCCCCGUACACAAAAAUGCACAUGCUGUGAGCUCGAUGAGUAGGGCGGGACACGUGGUAUCCUGUCUGAAUAUGGGGGGACCAUCCUCCAAGGCUAAAUACUCCUGACUGACCGAUAGUGAACCAGUACCGUGAGGGAAAGGCGAAAAGAACCCCGGCGAGGGGAGUGAAAAAGAACCUGAAACCGUGUACGUACAAGCAGUGGGAGCACGCUUAGGCGUGUGACUGCGUACCUUUUGUAUAAUGGGUCAGCGACUUAUAUUCUGUAGCAAGGUUAACCGAAUAGGGGAGCCGAAGGGAAACCGAGUCUUAACUGGGCGUUAAGUUGCAGGGUAUAGACCCGAAACCCGGUGAUCUAGCCAUGGGCAGGUUGAAGGUUGGGUAACACUAACUGGAGGACCGAACCGACUAAUGUUGAAAAAUUAGCGGAUGACUUGUGGCUGGGGGUGAAAGGCCAAUCAAACCGGGAGAUAGCUGGUUCUCCCCGAAAGCUAUUUAGGUAGCGCCUCGUGAAUUCAUCUCCGGGGGUAGAGCACUGUUUCGGCAAGGGGGUCAUCCCGACUUACCAACCCGAUGCAAACUGCGAAUACCGGAGAAUGUUAUCACGGGAGACACACGGCGGGUGCUAACGUCCGUCGUGAAGAGGGAAACAACCCAGACCGCCAGCUAAGGUCCCAAAGUCAUGGUUAAGUGGGAAACGAUGUGGGAAGGCCCAGACAGCCAGGAUGUUGGCUUAGAAGCAGCCAUCAUUUAAAGAAAGCGUAAUAGCUCACUGGUCGAGUCGGCCUGCGCGGAAGAUGUAACGGGGCUAAACCAUGCACCGAAGCUGCGGCAGCGACGCUUAUGCGUUGUUGGGUAGGGGAGCGUUCUGUAAGCCUGUGAAGGUGUGCUGUGAGGCAUGCUGGAGGUAUCAGAAGUGCGAAUGCUGACAUAAGUAACGAUAAAGCGGGUGAAAAGCCCGCUCGCCGGAAGACCAAGGGUUCCUGUCCAACGUUAAUCGGGGCAGGGUGAGUCGACCCCUAAGGCGAGGCCGAAAGGCGUAGUCGAUGGGAAACAGGUUAAUAUUCCUGUACUUGGUGUUACUGCGAAGGGGGGACGGAGAAGGCUAUGUUGGCCGGGCGACGGUUGUCCCGGUUUAAGCGUGUAGGCUGGUUUUCCAGGCAAAUCCGGAAAAUCAAGGCUGAGGCGUGAUGACGAGGCACUACGGUGCUGAAGCAACAAAUGCCCUGCUUCCAGGAAAAGCCUCUAAGCAUCAGGUAACAUCAAAUCGUACCCCAAACCGACACAGGUGGUCAGGUAGAGAAUACCAAGGCGCUUGAGAGAACUCGGGUGAAGGAACUAGGCAAAAUGGUGCCGUAACUUCGGGAGAAGGCACGCUGAUAUGUAGGUGAAGUCCCUCGCGGAUGGAGCUGAAAUCAGUCGAAGAUACCAGCUGGCUGCAACUGUUUAUUAAAAACACAGCACUGUGCAAACACGAAAGUGGACGUAUACGGUGUGACGCCUGCCCGGUGCCGGAAGGUUAAUUGAUGGGGUCAGCGCAAGCGAAGCUCUUGAUCGAAGCCCCGGUAAACGGCGGCCGUAACUAUAACGGUCCUAAGGUAGCGAAAUUCCUUGUCGGGUAAGUUCCGACCUGCACGAAUGGCGUAAUGAUGGCCAGGCUGUCUCCACCCGAGACUCAGUGAAAUUGAACUCGCUGUGAAGAUGCAGUGUACCCGCGGCAAGACGGAAAGACCCCGUGAACCUUUACUAUAGCUUGACACUGAACAUUGAGCCUUGAUGUGUAGGAUAGGUGGGAGGCUUAGAAGUGUGGACGCCAGUCUGCAUGGAGCCGACCUUGAAAUACCACCCUUUAAUGUUUGAUGUUCUAACGUUGACCCGUAAUCCGGGUUGCGGACAGUGUCUGGUGGGUAGUUUGACUGGGGCGGUCUCCUCCUAAAGAGUAACGGAGGAGCACGAAGGUUGGCUAAUCCUGGUCGGACAUCAGGAGGUUAGUGCAAUGGCAUAAGCCAGCUUGACUGCGAGCGUGACGGCGCGAGCAGGUGCGAAAGCAGGUCAUAGUGAUCCGGUGGUUCUGAAUGGAAGGGCCAUCGCUCAACGGAUAAAAGGUACUCCGGGGAUAACAGGCUGAUACCGCCCAAGAGUUCAUAUCGACGGCGGUGUUUGGCACCUCGAUGUCGGCUCAUCACAUCCUGGGGCUGAAGUAGGUCCCAAGGGUAUGGCUGUUCGCCAUUUAAAGUGGUACGCGAGCUGGGUUUAGAACGUCGUGAGACAGUUCGGUCCCUAUCUGCCGUGGGCGCUGGAGAACUGAGGGGGGCUGCUCCUAGUACGAGAGGACCGGAGUGGACGCAUCACUGGUGUUCGGGUUGUCAUGCCAAUGGCACUGCCCGGUAGCUAAAUGCGGAAGAGAUAAGUGCUGAAAGCAUCUAAGCACGAAACUUGCCCCGAGAUGAGUUCUCCCUGACUCCUUGAGAGUCCUGAAGGAACGUUGAAGACGACGACGUUGAUAGGCCGGGUGUGUAAGCGCAGCGAUGCGUUGAGCUAACCGGUACUAAUGAACCGUGAGGCUUAACCUU